UCGCUUUGCAAACACAUAUACUAAAACUGGAACGAUACAGAAAAGAUUACCAUGGCCCUUGUGCAAGGAUGACCUGCAAAUUCAUGAAAUGUUCCAUAUUCCU